rnacentral:rRNA from 1 species
UGGGGAAUAUUGGACAAUGGGGGCAACCCUGAUCCAGCGAUGCAGUGUGUGUGAAGAAGGCCUGCGGGUUGUAAAGCACUUUCGGUUGGGAAGAAGAUGUUUGUGUUAAUAGCACAGACGUUUGACGUUACUAAUAGAAGAAGCACCGGCUAACUCUGUGCCAGCAGCCGCGGUAAUACAGAGGGUGCAAGCGUUAAUCGGAAUUACUGGGCGUAAAGCGCACGUAGGCGGCCAGAUAAGUUGGGUGUGAAAUUUCCGGGCUUAACCUGGGGAGGUCAUUCAAUACUGUCUGGCUAGAGUAGGGAAGAGGGAAGUGGAAUUCUCGGUGUAGCGGUGAAAUGCGUAGAUAUCGGGAGGAACACCAGUGGCGAAGGCGGCUUCCUGGUCCACUACUGACGCUGAGGUGCGAGAGCGUGGGGAUCAAACAG